rnacentral:rRNA from 1 species
UACGUAGGGGGCGAGCGUUGUCCGGAUUUAUUGGGCGUAAAAGGCUUGUAGGUGGCCAUGCGAAGUCGGAUGUGAAAUCUCCCGGCUUAACCGGGAGGGUGCGGUGAAUACUGAGGGACUAGAGUACGGGAGAGGAAAGUGGAAUUCCUGGUGUAGCGGUGAAAUGCGUAGAUAUCAGGAGGAACACCGGUGGUGUAGACGGCUUUCUGGACCGACACUGACGCUGAGACACGAAAGCGUGGGUAGCAAACAGG